UCCCUGGUGGUCCAGUGGUUAAGACUCCAUGCUUCCAAAGCAGGGGAUGUGGGUUCCAUCCCCAGUUGGGGAA
rnacentral:tRNA from 1 species